GACGAACGCUGGCGGCGUGCCUAAUACAUGCAAGUCGAGCGCAGGAAGCUGACGGAACUCUUCGGAGGGAAGGCAGUGGAAUGAGCGGCGGACGGGUGAGUAACACGUAAGGAACCUGCCUCAAGGAUUGGGAUAACUCCGAGAAAUCGGAGCUAAUACCGGAUAGUUCAACGGACCGCAUGGUCCGCUGAUGAAAGGCGCUUCGGCGUCACCUUGAGAUGGCCUUGCGGUGCAUUAGCUAGUUGGUGAGGUAACGGCCCACCAAGGCGACGAUGCAUAGCCGACCUGAGAGGGUGAUCGGCCACACUGGGACUGAGACACGGCCCAGACUCCUACGGGAGGCAGCAGUAGGGAAUCUUCCACAAUGGACGAAAGUCUGAUGGAGCAACGCCGCGUGAGUGAUGAAGGUUUUCGGAUCGUAAAACUCUGUUGUAAGGGAAGAACACGUACGAGAGGAAAUGCUCGUACCUUGACGGUACCUUACGAGAAAGCCACGGCUAACUACGUGCCAGCCGCCGCGGUAAGAC
rnacentral:rRNA from 1 species